GACAGAGGGGGCAAGCGUUGUCCGGAUUGACUGGGCGUAAAGCGUGCGCAGGCGGUUUUGUAAGUUUGUCGUGAAAUCCCCGGGCUCAACCUGGGAAUGGCGAUGAAGACUGCAAGGCUAGAGUUUGGCAGAGGGGGGUAGAAUUCCACGUGUAGCAGUGAAAUGCGUAGAUAUGUGGAGGAACACCGAUGGCGAAGGCAGCCCCCUGGGUCAAAACUGACGCUCAUGCACGAAAGCGUGGGGGAGCAAACAGG
rnacentral:rRNA from 1 species